GACGAACGCUGGCGGCGUGCCUAAUACAUGCAAGUCGAGCGGAUGACGGAGGAGCUUGCUCCUCCUGAUUCAGCGGCGGACGGGUGAGUAACACGUGGGCAACCCGCCCUGUAGAUUGGGAUAACUCCGGGAAACCGGGGCUAAUACCGAAUAAUCCUUCGGACCUCAUGGUCCGAUGUUGAAAGACGGUUUCGGCUGUCACUACAGGAUGGGCCCGCGGCGCAUUAGCUAGGUGGUGAGGUAACGGCUCACCAAGGCCACGAUGCGUAGCCGACCUGAGAGGGUGAUCGGCCACACUGGGACUGAGACACGGCCCAGACUCCUACGGGAGGCAGCAGUAGGGAAUCUUCCACAAUGGACGAAAGUCUGAUGGAGCAACGCCGCGUGAGUGAAGAAGGUUCUCGGAUCGUAAAACUCUGUUGUGAGGGAAGAACAAGUACCGGAGUAACUGCCGGUGCCUUGACGGUACCUCAUUAGAAAGCCACGGCUAACUACGUGCCAGCCGCCGCAGUAA
rnacentral:rRNA from 1 species